GGGAAGAGCCUGUGUUUAGGACGUGCAGUUGGGAACUAAUUCUGCUGUGUCUAGCCUUGCUCUGCAUGAGGAUCCCCUUGGGGUCCUGGAAAGCCAGGAUGGCUGUCAGUGCUGCCGUCAAGGAGGUGAAGAUACACAGAAAGAAUAUCAUUCAUUCUUGAGGAAGGAUUGGUAUCACCCAGAAGCAGCAGUCAUUGAUCUUUUCUCUCCAGUCUUGUUGAUGGCGGCAGAAACAAGAGGCCUGACCUUCUCUACUGCUUCAGCUUUCUCGAUUCUGAGCAGAACCCCUCAUCCUAGAAACAAAAUUCAGUUUCACCUAUGCUGCCGAAAAGUUGUGGCUGAGUUUUGACCAUAAGCUAAACAUUUGUGUACCCAUAUGAGGUUGAAAAAGUUCAAGAAGUCUGGUGAAUGGAGCCCUUGGAGGGCCAGUGGCCAUCUUGGAGCAGGUAAGAAGGCAGCAUGCUUCUCCUGUGUGAACAGCAUCUCCAGUGCUGUCAGCUGUGAAGACCUUACUCAUGACACAGCAUGGACACAGUGGCAUGGGCUACAGGCUGCCUGCCAGCAGCUGUGAGGGUGAACAGACAUGGUCAGAAACAGUGUCAGGUGUCAGCCUUUCUUAUCUGAAUUCUCUCCUGGAAGCUCAGAAAGACCAAUAACUAGGCAGACUGCUGGUGCAACGCCAUUUACACUGUUAACUAAAGGUUUGUAAUGAGUAUUACUGAAUAUUUGAAGUGCAUGCUCAGACUGAAAGCAACUUCUCUGUAGUCACACAUGAACUGUUUCCCAUGUCCUAGGCCAGCAGUGUGAGGACUUCUCAAUUGCAAUAUUGAGUCUGAAUUACUCCAGUCUCUAUAACUACAUGACUUUCCUAAGAACUAUAGCAUUUCUCAAAUCAGCUUAAGAAAUAAUAAUUUUUUUUUGUUUUUUUUUUCCCAGGAGAAAGAAUAAACUACAAUGUAUUAUUUUGCCAGCUAUGUGAAAUUAGAUGCUAAGGAAAACCAGUAGCUGUUUAGAGUGGUAAUUCUGUGGAAAAGUCUACAUGUUACAGAGACGUUAUGGCUAUUUAUUCCCAUCAGUGACUAAAGAAAUUUGAUAAAAGAGUAUUUGGAAAAGAGACCAUCUUCUAAAUGCAUACCUGCUAGGUGCACUUUGCACUUUUUUAAUCUUAAAAUGUAACAAUCAGAAAAUCACACUGAGCCACUAAAACCUGGACCCUGCACUAUGUGCAGUCGAAAUUCCUAUAGCAUAGCUCUAGUAUGCCUCCAUUAAGAAAGUCCAUCCUUUCCUUUGAUGCCAGCUCUUCUCCAAACACUGGCAACAUUCUCCUGCCCUCUUAAAACAAAUAGAUAAACAGAAAAAACCUCAAACUUUAUCCAAGAGCCACUUCCUCGCAUUUAUACCAGACUCAAUGACCAACACUAAUUCAAAGUAAUCUUUGCUUUAUGUCCAGCACACUCUCUAUCCACUAAGAAGUACCCUGUCACUUGGGGAACCUGGUAGGUGUCCAAAAAUGGGCCCUCCAAAAGCCACGGCAAAGCUAGCACUUCUCUCAAGGAGUUAAAUGUUCAAGGCCAUCUCGAAAGGGGCACUGCCAGUAUGAGGAGUCACAGCUGCCAGCGCUCUGCCAGGCCUUCCUCCUCACAAACCUCAGCAUGGAGAAGCCUGUGCUUGCCCCACACAGGGCCAUGUCAGGGUCUCUUGACUCAUGACAUGUCUAUCUCGAGGUGGGGGGAAGGGUUGAUGGAACUGGGAUGAACCUCCACCCACCCUGUUAGCUCUCCUCUUGGCUGGUAAAUGAGAAGGUAGCCAGGGCAGGACUGUGACCUACACUGUCUACCAUAGGCACCUACGAAAUUUCGGAGAUGAUGAUGGAGCAAUCUAAAAAGCAAAUUUUUAGAUUUGAUUUAAAGGCCCAUGAAGUCAAUAAGAAGAUUUGCACUGACUUUGAAUCAGGUCCUCUGUGUGUCACACUUACACUUGGGCAAGACUAGAAAGAAGUUCAGCUGGAAGAACCAAGUUGAGGAAACAGGCUUUUGCUCAUCGUGAGCUGUGAGAUGCCAUCAAAGCCACAUUCUGCAUCCUUUUCCAGUACAUAUUUUAUUGGGGUAAAACAUUAAAAAAUCAUAUCCUUCGACGCACUUUACCAUCUAUUCUGACUUGGCAGUUACCAUUUUCUCAUGCCACAUUUAAUACUCACACAAUUUCUGUGACCAUCAGUUAUAAAUAAUGGCCUUGCACAGCACUGUGUAGGUGAAAUGCAUUAAUGUUGAUACCAUUCAGCUAUUGGGGCAUGCUAAGCUGCUUGUGUGGAGAGUUUCCUCCCCCUUCCCAUUUUGAUUUUUCUGCUGCUAUGCUUGAUGACUCGCAAUAAAAAUGGGUAAACAGAGAUCCAAGGGAAAUGAAACUACAUCUGCUGAACAUUCAGAGCCAAAAUACACAAGGUGGAUAAUUUGCAUGCUGUAUGUAAAAAGUAGUUAUGCAGCUUUCUUCCUACUCUUUACAUCUCCAUAAAACAUAAUAAUGGAUUUCUAAUUAUACGUCCAAAUAAUGGGCAAGCUGCAAGAUGCUGGAAGAAAAUUGGAAGAGGGGGAAGAAACUAACCAAAGGUACAGAUGUAACAAGGGUAGUGACGUUUCUGUAAAGAUGCUUUAAUGGUUGUUAAGUACUCAUUUUGAAACAAAAUUUUUUGUUGAAACAAAAUUUUUUGUUUGAAACAAAUUUUUUGACAAUUUGCAUCAGAGUUAAGGGAUGUCAGACUACAGCUUUUGGUCUACUACAAUGAUCAAAGAGGAGCUCUUUUCAUGCCUAUUCAAAUAAGUAGUAGGUUCCUAAAUUGGCUUUGUACAAAAGAAGGCAACCAGACUUCUGUCAAAUUCAGGCAGUGGAUCAGGCAGUCUUGACUUUUGAUGUUAAACACUGAUAAACUUUAUAUCAAAAUAAAGCAUUGUGUUUGUAAAUGAUAAACUCCUUCAAGUAAAACACAAUCAAUUUAUUGGAUUAUGA